CCUACGGGUGGCAGCAGUGAGGAAUAUUGGUCAAUGGACGUAAGUCUGAACCAGCCACGCCGCGUGAGGGAUGAAGGUUCUAUGGAUCGUAAACUUCUUUUAUACGGGAAUAAAGGGUGGGACGUGUCUUAUUUUGUAUGUACCUUAUGAAUAAGGAUCGGCUAACUCCGUGCCAGCAGCCGCGGUAAUACGGAGGAUCCGAGCGUUAUCCGGAUUUAUUGGGUUUAAAGGGUGCGUAGGCGGCCUGUUAAGUUAGCGGUGAAAGUCUGUGGCUCAACCAUAGAAUUGCCGUUGAAACUGGGGGGCUUGAGUAUAGUUGAGGCAGGCGGAAUGCGUGGUGUAGCGGUGAAAUGCUUAGAUAUCACGCAGAACCCCGAUUGCGAAGGCAGCCUGCCAAGCUAUGACUGACGCUGAUGCACGAAAGCGUGGGGAUCAAACAGGAUUAGAUACCCCAGUAGUC
rnacentral:rRNA from 1 species